GACAUUCCGCAAGGUUGUCUAGGAGUGUUGUUGUUGUGCUCGUUGGAUGCAUUUGCGUGCGGAGUGCGCCGAGUGGGUCGAUGUCGCUGCCGGAAGGGCGUAUAGAGGACUCGGGUUUUCGGACUCGAGAAUCCUGUGCGUUCGGAUAGCAGGUGAUGUUGGCUCGCUGUUGUGGAGUGCGGGUGAAUUCGCGAUGGGCGUCGGUUGUGAGUUGUGGUUGCGGAUGGCACAUGUGUCUUCCGUUUCCGCGGCCUACGAUCGGCGUUCGUUGCCCCGGCACUCGACUCGGUGUAUAGUCGGUCACCCAUUCGACCCGUCUUGAAACACGGACCAAGGAGUUUAAGGUGUACGCGAGUCAUUGAGCUGCGAAACUCAAAGGCGUAAUGAAAGUGAGACAUUGGAUGUCGACGAUGUGAGCGUUGGGCGUUUCGACGUCCGGCGCGCAACAUCGCCCCGUGACUAGGACUUGUUCUGUUGCGGAGGUUGAGCGUAAGCUUUGAGACCCGAAAGAUGGUGACUAUGCCCGAACAGGAUGAAGC
rnacentral:rRNA from 1 species